GACAAAGGAAAACCUCAGCUCUUCAAAAAUCAAUGCUGUCCUCCAUCUCAAGUCUCAACCAAUCUUCUCCACCACAGCAGUCCAAAAUGCAUUAUUUCUUAAAAUCCCUCCCCAAAAAAGCCACAGAUACUUCAUCGGUUGGAUUCAAUGGAUGAACCCAAAAGCCUGUCCUGUCUAUGCAACAUAUGUUGCGGGAAAUUGAUCAACAUAGUUGAACUCGUCUUCAUAUUAUUAACCUUAAGCUAAGAAACCAUCUCAAAGCAUACAAGUAUCUAGCACAGACUAACCAUUUUAUCUUCCUCUUCGGAAGAGAAGAAAAU
rnacentral:lncRNA from 1 species